UUAAUUGCUUCCUAUGCUUUUCGCAGCUGUCAGCCCCUAAUGGGGUCGGGGUCGGCAGGGGAGGGGCACUCGAAGGCUUUGUGUCCUUUCACCACCUGAAGCACUCCUGGCUGCAGAGUAAGAUUGUCCCACAUUUGCCAGACCUCCAGGUCCCCAAAAUGUGGCCUGUGCCUGCUCACCUUGUCCUGGUGCAGGAGAAAACUCUUUAUCAAUCUGCUAAAAAAGGUACAGGAACCUUUUCAACACUUAGAAACUAGACAAGAGCUGAAGAAAACACACAUAAUCACAAUAAGAGAGACUGAAUAUGCCAGCUUCUUAAAAACUGCAAACCAGACCAAGAGAAGUAAUAUGGUAAUUAAAGCAAUGACUGCAAGAUGACAACUCAUACAACUGGAGCUAGGUGUGGAAAAGGGCCACAUGGGUCCCUCCGGUCCCUCCAAGGACUGUUGAAGACAGAAUGGGACAAGAAGAGAGGCGAUGGUCUCCUUGCUUCCCCUUGAGACCCAGUCCCACACGUUCAGGUGGUCCUGCAGUGGCAGUUGGUGGCAGCAGGAGAUGAAGCCUGGGGAGCAAGGCGUGAAGCCAGCCCUUUGACAGCAGCAGGCAGGAGCAGUUGUCUCCUCUCUCAAAGUCUAGUUUUUCAAGCACCAACUUUUGUAAUGUAGCAGUUUUGACCUGAAAAACACAUGAUCUCUUUUGUUGUGGUUUUGUGUGUGUGUUUUGUGUUUUUUUCUUUUUUCUCUCUCUCUUUUUUUUUUUUUUUCCUCUUCUGGAAUUACAAAUGUGGGACAUGAAUUGCAAUAAGUGACCAGGCAAGCAGAGGAGGGGCUUAGCCAUACCUCACCUGGAAUCCACUCCAAUGCCCACUGAUGAGAGUAAUCUCAAUGGGCAGGCUCUUGACAGGACAUAAUUGCACUCCCAGCAGAGCUGGGCAGUCACAGAGCAUCUCCACUUGAGGCCAUUUACUAGCUAUUGUGAGAGUAUUUACUUAUUUUGAAUGUUUAUAAACUCUUGUUGGAACACAAGUCCUAUAUGGAUUCAUCUAAAUCCUGAUCUUUUUGAUCUGCAAAACCUUCAGUAAUUGAAAAAAAUCCAUUUCAUCUCUUGCUUCAGAACAUCAUGUAUAGUUUAUAACCUAGGAACCCAUGGCUCAGAUUUAAUGGUAAUCAUAUAACAUCUGUUUAAUUUUAAAAUUUAUAUGGAGGCUUUUUUGGAAAUCCCUUGGAGUUUUUUGACUUUCUGUCUUCUCUAUGCACACAGAGGAUGUAGAAAAUUAAUUUCCUGUGUAAAAAUACAAGAUGACAGAAGGUCCAAGGUUAAACCUAUUUACAAAGAAAAUCACUGCCAGUGUUUAGAAAAUUCUGCUUUUAUUUGAAAUAUUUGGAGGUGUACCUGGCUUCCCAUGUCCUCAUGGUAUUUAAGCAUAUAAGGCUUUCUGUCCAAUAAACCAUAGUGAAAAACC